UUGAAACACUGGUUCUUGUACGACCGCCGAAGUUAAGCAACGUUGAGUCUCGUCAGUAUCUAGAUGGGUGACCGCUUUGGAAUCCAAUGUGCUGUA